GCAUGCCUACAACAUAAUGUUAAUGCAUCGGAUCCCAUUAGAAUUUUGCAGUUAAACACGCUCGGGCUAGAGUAGUACUGGGAUGGGUGACCGCCUGAGAAGUCCUAGUAUUACAUGCC
rnacentral:rRNA from 1 species